UACGUAGGGGCGAGCGUUGUCCGGAAUGAUUGGGCGUAAAGGGCGCGUAGGCGGCUUGUUAAGUCUGGAGUGGAAGUCCUCUUUUCAAGGGAGGAAUUGCUUUGGAAACUAUAGAGCUUGAGUGCAGGAGAGGUUAUCGGAAUUCCCGGUGUAGCGGUGAAAUGCGUAGAUAUCGGGAGGAACAUCGGUGGCGAAGGCAGGUCUCUGGGCCACUACUGACGCUGAGAAGCGAAAGCAUGGGGAGCGAACAGGAUUAGAUACUCGUGUA
rnacentral:rRNA from 1 species